rnacentral:lncRNA from 1 species
GCUCAAUAACUUUGCUAUCUUCAGAUAGCUACAUAAUAGAUUAUUCAUUCAUUAUACCAUAUAUAGAUAGCUAAGCAGUCACUUUAACAGCCUCCUCCUUCACAAUCACAGUAGCUUUUGGCAUUGAUUCCACAGCUCUCACAGUUUCCUCCUUCUUAACCGCCUUUUGCAUUGCUUCAACGGCUGCGUUUCCUCGAUUCGCAGAUUCCUCUUUCUUUACCACAGGCUGCGCGGCGCAGGUAUGAACAGGGGCCCUCCUUAUCGGGCUCGAGCACGAGUACACGUUGUCGACUCCGGCACAUCCACUGCAGCAGUUCCUCGUAUCCAUUUUCUUGAAUUAAGUAGGCCAGGGGGUUUUGAAUUGAUGUUUCAUCCUUGCAAGGGUAAGAAUAUUUAUAGUGAAAGAUUAGACCUUUGAAUUCUUUCGGGCACUUCUAAGAAACUAGAAGGUCAUGCAUGGUAAUUAAAU